rnacentral:rRNA from 1 species
UACGAAGGGGGCUAGCGUUGCUCGGAAUCACUGGGCGUAAAGCGCACGUAGGCGGAUUGCUAAGUCAGGGGUGAAAUCCUGGAGCUCAACUCCAGAACUGCCUUUGAUACUGGCGAUCUCGAGUCCGGGAGAGGUGGAGUGGAACUGCGAGUGUAGAGGUGAAAUUCGUAGAUAUUCGCAAGAACACCAGUGGCGAAGGCGGACUCGACUGGCC